rnacentral:lncRNA from 1 species
AUGGUUGAUUAGCGAUUAUGAAUCACUAUUGGAUUUGAUCAUCAAUUUGAUUGAUGAUUAAUCCAGUGCAAGAGUUGCAAUAAAGCAAUUCGCUAAGAGUUAGUGAGUUGUAGGAGGAUUAAUUAGUAAUUAGAUUGCUAAUUGGCUCAAUUUAAUGGAGCAAUAAGGUUAAAAUUAAAUCUAAUUGAAUUGGAUUCAAU